rnacentral:rRNA from 1 species
UGCCCCUACGGGAGGCAGCAGUGGGGAAUAUUGCACAAUGGGGGAAACCCUGAUGCAGCAACGCCGCGUGAGUGAGGAAGUAUUUCGGUAUGUAAAGCUCUAUCAGCAGGGAAUAGAAAAGAAGGUACCUGAAAAAGAAGCCCCGGCUAACUACGUGCCAGCAGCCGCGGUAAUACGUAGGGGGCAAGCGUUAUCCGGAUUUACUGGGUGUAAAGGGAGCGUAGACGGUAUGGCAAGUCUGAUGUGAAAACCCGGGGCUCAACCCCGGGACUGCAUUGGAAACUGUCGGACUAGAGUGUCGGAGG